rnacentral:rRNA from 1 species
UACGUAGGGUGCAAGCGUUUAAUCGGAAUUACUGGGCGUAAAGCGUGCGCAGGCGGCUUUGCAAGACAGAUGUGAAAUCCCCGGGCUUAACCUGGGAACUGCAUUUGUGACUGCAUGGCUGGAGUGCGGCAGAGGGGGAUGGAAUUCCGGCGUGUAGCAGUGAAAUGCGUAGAUAUGCGGAGGAACACCGAUGGCGAAGGCAAUCCCCUGGGCCUGCACUGACGCUCAUGCACGAAAGCGUGGGGAGCAAACAGG